AACCUGGUUGAUCCUGCCAGUAGUCAUGUGCUUGUCUUAAAGACUAAGCCAUGCAUGUCUAAGUAUAAGUAUUAUACAGCGAAACUGCGAAUGGCUCAUUAAAACAGUUAUAGUUUAUUCGAUUAUUUUCUCCUACAUGGAUAACCGUAGUAAUUCUAGAGCUUAUACAUGCUGUCAAACCUGACUUUUGUGGAAGGGUUGUAUUUAUUAGAUAUAAAACCAAUACCCUUCGGGGUUUUGUGAUGAUUCAUAAUAACUGAACGGACCGCGGCCGUGCUGCGGCGAAUCGUUCAAGUUUCUGCCCUAUCAGCUUUUGAUGGUAGUGUAUUGGACUACCAUGGCGAUCACGGGUAACGGGGAAUUAGGGUUCGAUUCCGGAGAGGGAGCCUGAGAAAUGGCUACCACAUCUAAGGAAGGCAGCAGGCGCGUAAAUUACCCAAUCCUAAUUCAGGGAGGUAGUGACAAGAAAUAACAACUCGGACCUCACACGAGGUUACGAGAUUGCAAUGAGAACAAUUUAAACCUCUUAUCGAGUAACAAUUGGAGGGCAAGUCUGGUGCCAGCAGCCGCGGUAAUUCCAGCUCCAAUAGCGUAUAUUAAAGUUGUUGCAGUUAAAAAGCUCGUAGUUGAAUAUCUGGCCGGUGCUGCUCUCGGCUCCCUGAGUCGGUGUAGCGCCUGGUCAUCCGUAUGGGAAACUAGCUCGACCUUCACUGGUCGGCUAGUGGAUCAUACACUUUACUUUGAAAAAAUUGG
rnacentral:rRNA from 1 species